rnacentral:ncRNA from 1 species
CGGAGAUAAAAACACGUUCCGGUUGGUAGUCCGGAAGCGGCCCAAGGCCGCCAGUAACCUGCCUCCUUUGGUUGUCCGUUCUCCGC